AGUGAACGCUGGCGGUAGGCCUAACACAUGCAAGUCGAACGGCAGCACAGAGGAGCUUGCUCCUUGGGUGGCGAGUGGCGGACGGGUGAGGAAUACAUCGGAAUCUACUCUGUCGUGGGGGAUAACGUAGGGAAACUUACGCUAAUACCGCAUACGACCUACGGGUGAAAGCAGGGGACCUUCGGGCCUUGCGCGAUUGAAUGAGCCGAUGUCGGAUUAGCUAGUUGGCGGGGUAAAGGCCCACCAAGGCGACGAUCCGUAGCUGGUCUGAGAGGAUGAUCAGCCACACUGGAACUGAGACACGGUCCAGACUCCUACGGGAGGCAGCAGUGGGGAAUAUUGGACAAUGGGCGCAAGCCUGAUCCAGCCAUACCGCGUGGGUGAAGAAGGCCUUCGGGCUGUAAAGCCCUUUUGUUGGGAAAGAAAUCCAGAGGGAGAAUACCCGGUUGGGAUGACGGUACCCAAAGAAUAAGCACCGGCUAACUUCGUGCCAGCCGCCGCAGUAA
rnacentral:rRNA from 1 species